UUUUAAGUCACAAAAAUGAUUUCUUCCCUUUCUUCAUUUCACGAAGAGGUUCUGUGGUUCAAUUAUUUCUCAGACUGUGACUUUGAUUAUGUAGGAAAUAGUUCCACUACCUGCUUGAAACAGAAACCUAGUAGAAGAGACUCAAAAGGUCAUCAUCACACUGCAAUGUUUGAGAUCAGCACUAGAAUGAAAAAUGCCAGCAUAAGGUUUAACCAUCCUCGGAAAGCACAGAAUCCACUGGAAGGUUAGCAAUGACAAGGAUUUGUCUUGGAACCAAUCUUUUCAGUAUUUUCAUUCUAUUAUACCCUGGCACAAGAAACAGACGAGCACUGCUAAAACAAAGUUAGGGGCACUGUCAAUAAAGAGUAAAACAGAGAUAUACCA
rnacentral:lncRNA from 1 species